ensembl:lncRNA
CUGAGCUAGUGGUGGAGGAAAGAACAUGUUGCAGAUAGAACCACACUGAGCUAGUGGUGGAGUAAAGAACAUGUUGCAGAUAGAACCACACUGAGCUAGUGGUGGAGUAAAGAACAUGUUGCAGAUAGAACCACACUGAGCUAGUGGUGGAGUAAAGAACAUGUUGCAGAUAGAACCACACUGAGCUAGUGGUGGAGGAAAGAACAUGUUGCAGAUAGAACCACACUGAGCUAGUGGUGGAGGAAAGAACAUGUUGCAGAUAGAACCACACUGAGCUAGUGGUGGAGGAAAGAACAUGUUGCAGAUAGAACCACACUGAGUUAGUGGUGGAGGAAAGAACAUGUUGCAGAUAGAACCACACUGAGCUAGUGGUGGAGGAAAGAACAUGUUGCAGAUAGAACCACACUGAGCUAGUGGUGGAGUAAAGAACAUGUUGCAGAUAGAACCACACUGAGCUAGUGGUGGAGUAAAGAACAUGUUGCAAAUAGAACCACACUGAGCUAGUGGUGGAGUAUGGAACAUGUUGCAGAUAGAACCCCACUGAGCUAGUGGUGGAGUAAAGAACAUGUUGCAGAUAGAACCGCACUGAGCUAGUGGUGGAGUAUGGAACAUGUUGCAGAUAGAACCACACUGAGCUAGUGGUGGAGUAAAGAACAUGUUGCAGAUAGAACCACACUGAGCUAGUGGUGGAGUAAAGAACAUGUUGCAGAUAGAACCACACUUAGCUAGUGGUGGAGUAAAGAACAUGUUGCAGAUAGAACCACACUGAGCUAGUGGUGGAUUACGGAACAUGUUGCAGAUAGAACCACACUGAGCUAGUGGUGGAGUAAAGAACAUGUUGCAGAUAGAACCACACUGAGCUAGUGGUGGAGUAAAGAACAUGUUGCAGAUAGAACCAGGCUGAGCUAGUGGUGGAGUACGGAACAUGUUGCAGAUAGAACCACGCUGAGCUUUGCUACUGAAUUAUUACAGAAGGAUCAGAAGACACACACACACACACUCUCUUUCUCUCUCUCUCUCUCUCUCUCUCUCUCUCUCUCUCUCCCUC